rnacentral:rRNA from 1 species
UACGUAGGGUGCAAGCGUUGUCCGGAAUUAUUGGGCGUAAAGAGCUCGUAGGCGGUUUGUCGCGUCUGCUGUGAAAACUCGGGGCUUAACUCCGGGCCUGCAGUGGGUACGGGCAGACUAGAGUGCGGUAGGGGAGACUGGAAUUCCUGGUGUAGCGGUGAAAAUGCGCAGAUAUCAGGAGGAACACCCGGUGGCGAAGGCGGGUCUCUGGGCCGUAACUGACGCUGAGGAGCGAAAGCGUGGGUAGCGAACAGG